rnacentral:rRNA from 1 species
UACGUAGGGUGCGAGCGUUGUCCGGAAUUAUUGGGCGUAAAGGGCUCGUAGGCGGUUUGUCGCGUCGGGAGUGAAAACACCGGGCUUAACUCGGUGCUUGCUUUCGAUACGGGCAGACUAGAGGCAUGCAGGGGGAGAACGGAAUUCCUGGUGUAGCGGUGAAAUGCGCAGAUAUCAGGAGGAACACCGGUGGCGAAGGCGGGUCUCUGGGCAGUAACUGACGCUGAGGCACGAAAGCGUGGGGAGCAAACAGG